UCUGGAUAGGAUGGCCUUGAUGUACAUGUUGCAAAGAUCUUCUUCAAUGCACUCUGCUGAAUUUCCACUCCAGCAGACGUUUCCUCCUUUGUAAAUGUCAUAUUUCCUCAUGUGCACCAUGGUUUCACUGUCUGUGGAAGCUCUCUCAUCCUCAGUAAGGCAGAUCUGCAGAUGAGCCCUGCACAGGUCCUUUUGUCCAGGAGAAAACAGGAAUCAGUGGAGAUGCUCCACAGCAGUAUCCUGGAAGGACUGAGCUGAGACAGGGAAUGCUGGGGUCAGUGGGGACUGGAGACAAGGUGAUUCCCAGCACAACUUGGCACUGGUUUUUCUACCCUUGAGAACUUUUACAUCCCUUGUAACUGAAUACCCCUUGUAAAUGUAUACCCCCUUUAAAUGUAUAUCACUUGUAAAUGUAUAUCACUUGUAAAUGUACAUCACUUGUAAAUGUAUAUGCCUUGUAAAUGUAUAUGCCUUGCAGUCUUAAUAAAUUGGGAGGCU
rnacentral:lncRNA from 1 species